rnacentral:rRNA from 1 species
UACGUAGGAGGCAAGCGUUGUCCGGAAUUACUGGGCGUAAAGCGCGUGUAGGCGGCCAGGUAGGUCGGUUGUGAAAACUGGAGGCUCAACCUUCAGAGGUCGACCGAAACCAUCUGGCUAGAGUCCGGGAGAGGAGAGUGGAAUUCCUGGUGUAGCGGUGAAAUGCGCAGAUAUCAGGAAGAACACCCGUGGCGAAAGCGGCUCUCUGGAACGGUACUGACGCUGAGACGCGAAAGCGUGGGGAGCGAACAGG